AGCGAACGCUGGCGGCAGGCUUAACACAUGCAAGUCGAACGCCCGGGCAACCGGGAGUGGCAGACGGGUGAGUAACGCGUGGGAACGUGCCCUUUGGUUCGGAAUAACUCAGGGAAACUUGAGCUAAUACCGGAUACGCCCCGAGAGGGGGCAAGAUUUAUCGCCGAAGGAUCGGCCCGCGUCCGAUUAGCUAGUUGGUGAGGUAAUGGCUCACCAAGGCGACGAUCGGUAGCUGGUCUGAGAGGAUGAUCAGCCACACUGGGACUGAGACACGGCCCAGACUCCUACGGGAGGCAGCAGUGGGGAAUAUUGGACAAUGGGGGCAACCCUGAUCCAGCCAUGCCGCGUGAGUGAUGAAGGCCUUAGGGUUGUAAAGCUCUUUCGGCGGGGACGAUAAUGACGGUACCCGCAGAAGAAGCCCCGGCUAACUUCGUGCCAGCCGCCGCGGUAA
rnacentral:rRNA from 1 species